rnacentral:rRNA from 1 species
AUUGAACGCUGGCGGCAUGCCUUACACAUGCAAGUCGAACGGUAACAGGUCUUCGGAUGCUGACGAGUAGCGAACGGGUGAGUAAUGCAUCGGAACGUGCCCAGUAGUGGGGGAUAGACCGGCGAAAGCCGGAUUAAUACCGCAUACGACCUGCGGGUGCAAGGGGGGGAUCGCAAGACCUCUCGCUAUUGGAGCGGCCGAUGUCAGAUUAGCUAGUUGGUGGGGGAAAGGCCUACCAAGGCAACGAUCUGUAGUUGGUCUGAGAGGACGACCAGCCACACUGGGACUGAGACACGGCCCAGACUCCUACGGGAGGCAGCAGUGGGGAAUUUUGGACAAUGGGCGCAAGCCUGAUCCAGCAAUGCCGCGUGCAGGAAGAAGGCCUUCGAGUUGUAAACUGCUUUUGUCAGGGAAGAAAUCUUCUGGGUUAAUACCUCGGGGGGAUGACGGUACCUGAAGAAUAAGCACCGGCUAACUACGUGCCAGCAGCCGCCGUAACAC